GACGAACCGUGCGAACGUUGUUCGGAUUCACUGGGCUUAAAGGGCGCGUAGGCGGGUGAUCAAGUCCGGGGUGAAAUCCUCCAGCUUAACUGGAGAAUAGCCCUGGAUACUGGUCGUCUUGAGGAAGGUAGGGGCAUGUGGAACUUCCGGUGGAGCGGUGAAAUGCGUAGAUAUCGGAAGGAACGCCGGUGGCGAAAGCGACGUGCUGGACCUUUUCUGACGCUGAGGCGCGAAAGCCAGGGGAGCAAACGGG
rnacentral:rRNA from 1 species